GAGAGAAAGAAGGGCAGGGAGAAAGAUCAAGUGACAAAUUUUGAUGUUAGUGAAAUAACCCACAAGAAAAAAAGAAAGAGAAUGAAUGUCCAACAAAUUGAGACAAAAAGACUCUAUCUUUCAUGGAGACACAUCUUUUAUGUAGCGGCAUGAGAUGACUCUUACUGUUAUAUUACUGUGUUUUUAGGAAGUGAAACCAAUUUGUUGAUCAUUGUGUACCAGGGGAUAAAAUGGGCUGUCCAUAUGGCUCUACCAACAAAAUGCCAAUGUCAAUA
rnacentral:misc_RNA from 1 species